CCGGGUCACACUCGGGGGAAACAGGCGAGGACUGGGGUGGGGGGUGGGGGUGGGAGGAUGAAUUCACUGGUCUGUGAACAACGCGACGCCAUCCCCCAGAUAGUCACCCCUCUGGAUCGGGUGGAAAUGCAACAACACUACUGGAUUCUGAUCGGGAAAUCCAGGAGAGUGAAUGAUGUGAUUGGUGAUGACGAUGUGGGUGCAGAGCUGUGGAGGAGCAGAGGGAAGGAAACACCUCCCAGAAGACUUGACAUCUGAACCAUCAUGAAAGACGGGCAGAGUCGGACCUCAGGCUUUACUCCAAUCCAACUUAAUCUCUGAAACAAUUAACACUGUACCUCUGGCUGCUGCAGCUGCUAGUUACUUGACCUCGGGUGUCAUACCCAACAACAAAGCCUCUCUGCUUGAAGUCUGAGAAACAUCUUUCAAGUUCUACCUUUUUCAGGAUGACAUACAGUUGGAGUCAGACAGUUGAUCCUCAAAAUUGAACAUAAUGUGAACACCAAGUUAAGAUCAUCUACAUAUUGUUCACUGUGGAUCCCUGUUGUGGGUUUGGAUAAAAUUUGCUUCUGUUCAGGCCCAUCUAUGUCUCCUGAAGAUCUCGUCUGCCGGCAGUUCUUUUUUUUCUCUGCUACUGCAGUGGAGGAGGAGGGAGAACAAGAUUGAUUGCAAAAACAGGCAAGGAAGUUAAGGAGGGAAGAUGGGUCAGCAUAUAACCGUAACACAAGCAACAGUGUACAAGCGUCCUAAGAGGGAUACAAAGAGCAAUGGCAAUAGGCAUACGGAGGAAGAAAAAAGAUGAUUGAGAUAAUCGUCAAUUUCUUCUUAUCCUGGCUUCUCUCCUCUGGAACGCUCACCUUGCAAAGUCACGCAACUUGAGGUCUGGGAGAUGUUGAGAAAGGCUUACCGGUCACACUCAGCUGCUACUGAUUCUUUCUGGUUUGGCCUUCUUAAAAUGACUCUGUGAGUUUGGCCGAGUAUUUUACAGCUCUUUCCCUAGUCAGAGUUUUUGUAGAGAGGGUGUAAUAUUUACACCAUGGGUAUACAGUAACUUAAUAAAUGGCUUUAGAGUGCUUUAGGGUUCACGGAUAAAAGACAUAAUAAAUUCAAAGUAUUACUUUUUUUCCUUUGACAAGCCAUUCACCAUAAUAAAAUCCAAGCUACCAAGAUACAGAAGGAUCGUAGUGUCAAUACCUGAAAAAUAACGUGCCACAGUUGGGAUUCACAGUCUUUGCUAAACAGUUGGGUGUUUCCUUUUUGGAAUCAGCAGAUUCUUUUAAUCACACAAGGCCGGGGAUUCCUGGGUGGCUCAGCGGUUUGGCGCCUGCCUUUGGCCCGGGGCGUGGUCCUGGAGUCU